rnacentral:lncRNA from 1 species
GCCCUUAGUUCUUAAAAGGUGGAGUAUUCCUCUCUUUCUCUACAAGAGGUCAAGGAACGUGAGGAUGGCUGUAAAGUAAAGAUAACAGUGGGGAUGGAAAGGGACCAGAGGGAGGAUUCAGUUUUUCCGGGAAAGGGACCGGAGGGAGGAUUCGGUUUUUCCGGGAAAGGGACCGGAGGGAGGAUUCAGAAGGGAUGGAAAAGAGAUGCUCGGAAUAAAUCAUCAAGAAAUUGAACAGUACUGAAUUCUCUACUGCAUUACAACCAGUACUCUACAAUUUUUCAGUCUUGAUCUUUUUCUUUUUUUCUGCUCACUUUAGCAUAACUUGGCUCUCUCUCUCAUUUUUCGGCUCCUGACAUUGUUUGUUAUAACUUUGUAUAAUUGGAUUGACGUAAAACAGCGGAUUUAUGUACUUAAUUGUAUGAAAGAUUGGAGCUUCAUGUCAAACAAUGGUUGCUUUUAAUGUUUUGUUAAGGAAAUUGAGUGUUUAAUUACCGGAGAAAUUUUAAGGAUAAUGAGAGUAUAUUGAUGUAAUAAUCGUAAUAUAACAGCCACGGUAGCUUUAAUAGUAAUAUAGCAGCCAUAAUAUUCAUUAUUAUUAAUUUAUCACUCUUGCUUUCCUCUUCUUUUCAUAAAAUUAUGUAGAUUACUUCAAUUGGUUUCCUUUUCCAUUUGUCUAACCAAGCCAUCCUUCUUCUUCUACUUCUUCUUCUUCUUCCUCUAACAG